rnacentral:rRNA from 1 species
GACGAACGCUGGCGGCGUGCUUAACACAUGCAAGUCGAACGGAAAGGCUCUGCUUUUGUGGGGUGCUCGAGUGGCGAACGGGUGAGUAACACGUGAGUAACCUGACCUUGACUUUGGGAUAACUUCAGGAAACUGGGGCUAAUACCGGAUAGGAGCUCCUGCUGCAUGGUGGGGGUUGGAAAGUUUCGGCGGUUGGGGAUGGACUCGCGGCUUAUCAGCUUGUUGGUGGGGUAGUGGCUUACCAAGGCUUUGACGGGUAGCCGGCCUGAGAGGGUGACCGGCCACAUUGGGACUGAGAGACGGCCCAGACUCCUACGGGAGGCAGCAGGGGGGAAUAUUGCACAAUGGGCGGAAGCCUGAUGCAGCAACGCCGCGUGCGGGAUGACGGCCUUCGGGUUGUAAACCGCUUUCGCCUGUGACGAAGCGUGAGUGACGGUAAUGGGUAAAGAAGCACCGGCUAACUACGUG